UCCAUGUCUCCGUGAGUUGCAGAUACUGUGUGAUCACGGCUGCGCAUUUUGUCAGUGAGCCAAUCAACCUUACGCCUGGUGUUAACAAAGAUGACACUCUGGGUGAUGGCUAAGGUCUCGUAAAGAUCGCAAAGAGUUUCAAGCUUCCACUCUUCCUUAUCAACAUUGACAUAAAAUUGCUUGAUACCUUCAAGCGUAAGCUCAUCACGCUUCACAAGAAUCCUAACAGGCUUGUUCAUGAACUUCCUAGUAAUUUCAAGGGCUUCUGGCGGCAUAGUGGCAGAGAAAACACCCACUUGAAUCUUUGGUGGCAGCAGUUGAAAAAUAUCAUAAAUCUGGAAAUAAUAAAAUCAAAGACACUGUUUGUGAGCCUUGGGAGCAUAAAUCAGCUUAUAGGUUAGGCCCACAGGAGAUACUAUAGGAAAUAAGGGAAAAAGAACCAGCAAAGUCCUGCAGAGAUUCUAAAAGACAUUAAAGCAUAAUAAGGCUAAUAAUGACAAGAAUAGAACUCCCAUAGAGAAGCUAAUAACACAUAUGCAGAAAUCUUUCCGGAACCUAGCAUACGACUAAGAAAAGAAGCAUAUAAAUACUUACUUUGUCCCCCAACCCCAAAAAAGAAAAUCACAUCCCCAUUUUUGUGCACUACCAAUACAGAAACCUAAUAAAUAAGAAAAAUCCACCUGAAUGACAGAAAAAGAAAUAAAGCAGGAAAUGAAAGGAGAAAACAGUAACCUGAUCCUUGAAACCUCUUGAGAGCAUUUCAUCAGCUUCAUCCAGAACAAACAUCUUGAUGUGGUCAGGGCGAAGAGACUGCCUGCGCAACAUGUCAAAGACACGGCCAGGAGUACCAACCACCACAUGAACACCACUUUGAAGGAUACGCUGAUCCUCACGGACACUGGUACCUCCUACACAAGCAUGAACCUUCACACCGAGAUAAUCACCAAGUGCUCGCAUAACCUUCUCAAUCUGUUGGGCAAGCUCACGGGUUGGAGCCAGAACCAGAGCCUGACAUUCGACUAAGCUGUAAUCGAGCUGCUGGAGAACUCCAGAGCAGAAAGUUGCUGUCUUUCCGGUUCCAGAUUGUGCCUGUUGGAUCACAUCAAGACCCUUGCAAAAUGGAACAAUACCCCUUUGCUGGAUAGCAGAUGGCUUCUCAAAACCUUCAAGCAAAUUAAGCCAGGUGUUAAAUGCCCUGCUAAAUCUAACGAUGGAGAAGGAAAAUCGCAUGUGCUAUUAAGAGGUGCAUUUACCAUAAGCAUAGAUGCCCCUAAGAAGGUUUUCUUGCAAACCCAUGGCAUCAAAACUGUCAUAAACCUCAUCAUAUGAUGUGAAGAACUCCUCCUGCUCAGUCCCAAGCCUGUUUCAGCAUGUCAAAACAUCCAGAAAAUUGAAAAAUUAAAUGAGCAAGCAAAGACAAGGAACACAACAUAGUCGCAAGUGAUAGCUAAAGAAAGGACGAAAAUAAAACGCAAGUGUAGUUUUCUGCAACCAGAUUAAUAUCCUAUUGGUAGAGAAUUGAGAGCAAGCAACUUACAGCUCAGUCAUUUUGGCAUCAUACUGACGAGCAUCAAAUUGAGAACCUUCCGGUGCCAAGCCAGCCAUGACUGUAGAAAAUAAAAGAACUAUGGUAUUACUUUAAUGGAAAUUCAUUAAACAAUCUUGAACUUAAUAAAGAGGAAAAGCCAAAACCUUACUGCUGAAAUAUCACAUUUUCCAAUACUAGCACUAGCGAUAAUAUUAUCUGUUCUUCCUCUCGAAUAUUGAAAGGGGUGGAGGGCACGACAGAAUGUAUGUUUUCUUUCUUUAUGAAGAAGCACAAAGCACAUAAAGAGGAGAUACACAUGAAAAAAGUUGUUUGAACAUACAGACUAAAUUGCAGCCAACUGCCAGCCAACCUUUCCACAUGUAAUAGGUUUCCAACUAUCCAGUUUUUCCAAUGAGCAAAUACAUUCAGAACUGAGAGAACAUCUAAGAAAACACCCAUUACUUAAAAUCAAAUUAAUGAUAGUCUCAUCCCAUAAGUAUCUCAACAUACAAAUCCAAGGUCCAAAUGACCACCAUUCACAUUCCUUUCAAAAUAUAAUCCUUUUGCACAAUACUUUACAAAAAGGUUCUUUAAUCUAAAUACAAGCACUAUGAGAAUGAAAUAGCUGAUGUUACAAACAGAUAAUAAACAAAGACGAUACUUUUACAAUCAAGAAUAUCACAUCAAUCAGAUCUCUAUCCAAAGUAGUCAAAAAAUAUCACACAUACAGAAACAGCUACAUAACCCAAAACCCAGCUGUAGAAACCAAUUCAGACCGACAACCAAUCAUCAAGAUACAAAAACGAAGAUUAUAUCAUAGAAAAAAGGGAGAAAAAAACAUAGCUAACCUGAUAGAGACGAGGAAAAGAUCUGAGGAAUAGCAAACAGAGAGUUGAAAGGAAAAGUGGGUAAAAGCGAUUGGAGAGUUAGGGUUUGCAAAGACUGCUGUUUUUGUCUGAAACUCCUCGGAUCUACGCCGCAGGAGUUCAGAGGAAAAGAGAAUAGAAAGAUUAGACUCUUGCGUUGUGUUAUGUGUUUUUUUUUUAUGGUUUUUUUGUAAUUGUGUUCUUUUAUGGAAUUGUAUUUACUAUUUUCUGUAACAUCUUGUUUUGUCUUUUAUUUUUUGAAAUUCCUAUUUUGACCCGAGAAUGGGGUGGAUUCUACAAAAUUGAGGGCUAGAUUUUUUAUUGGGCUGCUUGGGCCAAAUUUAGGUGAGUUACUUUAUCUAUACUAUAUUAAAAGUAGGAAAACUCUUAUCGAAAUGUCAAUUGCUUUUUUUAUCCUUUAAAACAUAAUUUUACAUCGGAUAAUCUUGUUAUUUAGCGCUUCUCCAAAUAUUUAGGACAUUAAAAUCAAAUAAAAUUUAAUUUAUUAAAUUUUUCCUUAUUUAAAUUAGGCCUUUAAAAUCAAUUAAAAGAUUUUCUUAUUCUAAUAAAAAGAGAAAUAGAAAACUUUAAAAACUUACCUAACGUUAAUUAGGUAAACAUGGAAACUUGAAAAAUUCUAAUUUAUUGCAAUAUAAAUAACGACAAAAUUGAAUAGAGUUUCUUUAGUUAACUAUAAAUUCUAACAAUUUAUGAAGAUUAAAGUGGCAGAUCUCUUAUUUAAUUUAAAUAAGGUUAAAUUGGUUCUCUAAUAUCGGUAAAGCAAUAUCUUCCCAUUGCAAAUAACAAUAGUAAAACAUGUACAAGUUUAGGACUAAAAUUAUAUAUAUAUAUAUAUAUAUAUAUAUAUNNNNNNNNNNNNNNNNNNNNNNNNNNNNNNNNNNNNNNNNNNNNNNNNNNNNNNNNNNNNNNNNNNNNNNNNNNNNNNNNNNNNNNNNNNNNNNNNNNNNNNNNNNNNNNNNNNNNNNNNNNNNNNNNNNNNNNNNNNNNNNNNNNNNNNNNNNNNNNNNNNNNNNNNNNNNNNNNNNNNNNNNNNNNNNNNNNNNNNNNNNNNNNNNNNNNNNNNNNNNNNNNNNNNNNNNNNNNNNNNNNNNNNNNNNNNNNNNNNNNNNNNNNNNNNNNNNNNNNNNNNNNNNNNNNNNNNNNNNNNNNNNNNNNNNNNNNNNNNNNNNNNNNNNNNNNNNNNNNNNNNNNNNNNNNNNNNNNNNNNNNNNNNNNNNNNNNNNNNNNNGGUUUUUAAAAUUAUAUACCACCCACUUUAAAUAUGAUUUUAAGCAUCCAUUGUUUUGAUUAAAUUAUUGUUGUCCUUCUUUAGUUUUAUCAUAUUUCUUAAUUCAUGAAAAUUGAAAUUAUAUGUUAUUCUAUAGAUUAGUGUCAGUAUUUGUCCGUUAUUUUGUACAUAUUUUUUCAAGGUAACAGAAAGAUGGUUCUUGCUACGAAAGAGUGCCCAAUCAAGUGCCAUAAAAAUUUGAUUUUGGUAGCAAAAGAUAUUACCAUCAAAAUCAGUUUGUAUGUUAUACUCACGGGUAAUUUUUUAAAUUUUCAUUUAUCUUUUUGUAUUCUUAAAAGGAGUGAACUUAUUCUACUUAUGUUCUUAUUUUAACUUGACAUUAGUUUCAAGAGUAAUUUUCUUCUCAUUUGGAAAGGUGAAAUUAGAAUCUCAAUGCCAUAAGUUUACUCUCUUUUGGGGAUGGCAGAUAGAAUUGAUAAAAAAUUAGAAGAAAAAAAUUAAAAACUUGUUACUUGCAUGUUUCUUUGUAAAAUUCUAGGUGAGGAUUGUUCAGUCAAUGUGUUUCUAUAUUGAUUUUUUUAAUAAUUUAUUUAUAUUUGGUUUAGACCAAAUCUAAAGUCAGUGGGCAAAUAAGAUUAAAUUGUCAUUACAAUUAAUUUUCUUUUUAUUUUUGAUUGUUUAUACGUGUAUAUUUAUUUUUGAUUUGUUUUACAGUAAUUUGUUUAGGUUUUUCUUAUUUAAUUUAUAAUUUGUUUUAUAAUUUGUCUAGGUUUAGUUUAGAAUGCAUACCAAAGUCAUUGAGGAGUCCAAACCUUGUGGUCAUUAAGAAAUUCGUUAACUUUAAUUUGUUAAAACUGAAAUAACAAUGUAUUAUAUGGAAGCUCACAGAGCAAACUUUAAAUAACAAUAAAUCAUACGAGAAAAGAGAAAUAUAUAAAAAGAGAUACAAUAAUAUGAUUUGGUCACCUCACCUAUAUAUAUAUGAGCAAUUCACGAAAAAAAUAGUAUACAAACCUUUUCCUCCAAAAAAGGAAUAGCCAAAUAAAGAAUAGAUUUAUAUUUUUCUUUUAAGAAAGUAACAAGAGAAUUGUGGCAAAUAUUUGCCCAUGCUUCAAAGGAAAAAUAAAACUUAAAUAUAAUAAAUUAGGUCAGAAGCAACAACAUAACAUAGCAUUAUUUUAUACAAUAAAAUAUGUAUAAUUAUAAUUACUACUAAAUAACUAACUCAUUUCGUACAUGAAGAUUUAGAAAACAUGCAAUUACUUUGAACUCAUCUUGUCUUAACGUAAAGUAUUUAUUUUUUAUUCAAAAAAUUAUUGCAUAUAUCUCAACAUCAAUUGUUAUUUCACAUAAUUCAUUCUUAUUCUAUAUGAUGUAGGACUUUUUAAUAAUAGACGCAAAACACACGUGCAUCGCACGUACACUGAAACUAAUCAUAAUUAAAAGUAAGAAUUAACUUAAAUAGCGUCCACUCAACGGCUUAAAUUAUAAAUAGUUAUCGAGUAAAUAUAUAAUAUAUGUAUAAAAUAAUAUGCAACACCGUAUCCAACACCGCUUGGGCGGGAAAUUGUAAUAAAUAUACAUAUAAAUAAUAUGCAAAAUCAAUCGGAUAUAGAUAGUUUUAUGAGAGUGGUUGGUACAGUAGCUCAAAUUUUAGCCGCAUUUGUUUGUUUUAUAAAUAAAUAGGUAAAAAUCGAGCUUUGGACUUCCCCAUUAUUGUAACCAGUAAGCCGAAGGAGCUCUAAAGGUUAAUUGAGAGGGCAUCUAUCUAAAAAACAAAUGGUCAAGAGUACUCUUAAUACUCGUGUCAAUUGGUUUUUUGGCUCUUUACAAACUUAUUUUUAGUUUUAUGAACCUACUUCCUUUUUUUUCACAUGAUAAAUUUAUUUUUACACGUAAAAGAGCCGUCUUUUACACAUAAGAGAUCUAAAAAGGUCAUUUUCUUAAAUUCAAAAUUGUAAAGGGGCAUGAUGUACAAAUAGCACUCUCCCUCCAAUAGGUGCAUUGCAUAAAGAGCAAACCAUAUUGUCCAAACAACCCCAUAGUGCCAAACUUUCUUCCAUAUGCAGCUAGAUACAGAAUAUAAGCCCAUUUUUGUGAGGAAACAUUGUUACAAACCAAUCUCCUCCAAUACACCUUUUGAAAACCUCCUCUAAACUUCAGAUAUAUAUACCUGUUCUAUAAAGAACUGCUCAAUGUUCAACACAUCACCUUCUAGCCAGCCAGCUUCCCCAUAGUAUUUUCUAGCCUUCAAUAUUUUCUGAACUAGCCAUUAGGCCUGUUUGGGUAGUGCUUCCCAUAUUGUUUUCCAAAGAAAUUGUUAAAGUUUCCUUAAAGUUAGAGCAACUGGUUUCUGUUUCUUAUAUUAUAUGAUUUUCUUUAAUUAUUCUUCUUAGGUCAUAUAUUAUGGUAGGACGAAGACAGAUCCAAAAUUCAAACUGCAGAGCUCAAAAUUUACUAUUUAUAAUAUUUUUCAGAAUUAUUCACACAACACACAAAUAAUACAAGAAGAAAAUGACAGUUCUGAUCCGUCUAUCCUUAGAGAUCUCGGGUUCGAGCCAUGAAAUUGUAAACUCAUAGUAGGGACGCUUUACUCCUUUAGUGGUAUAAAUCCGGAUUAAUCAAGCCAAUGAGUUGUGGAUACUUGAUGGUUAAACCAAAAUAGAAAAUGAUAGGCUCAAUUGGAUGCAUGUUCAAAACUAUAUAAGUCUGCUGGGUAAUUAGGGAAGUCUAAUGGCCUUUUCUUUCCUUUUACAUGCUGGGAUAAUUAUCACACAACGUCCCCGACUCCAGAAACCACAUAGAGGGCAAUGGUUCCAGCAACUUAAUGCGGCAGCUUCUGUAAUUGUGGACGGAUCAGUAAUAAUCCUGGUCCUAUACUUGAGAUUGUACUUGUGAGUACAAAAUAAGUCUCAUUUUUUUUAACCACUAUAGGGUUCGAACCGUGGAAACAGCCUCUUGCAGAAAUGCAGAGUAAGGCUACGUACAAUAGACCCUUGUGGUCCGACCCUUCCCGAACCCCGCGCAUAGCAGGAGCUUAGUGCACCGGGCGGCCCUUUUACUCACUACACAUGUCAUACAAGAGGAGGGAGAGGACAUCCAUUGCACCAAUCCUGAAUUAAUGAUCACAUGGAAGCUAAUAAGUCUCAAAUACAAUAUACGUCAACACAUGCACCAUCUUCCAUUUACAAUGUCUCUCAAAUCAAAAGCAAACUACACAAAAGCACCACAAAGCGUGAAACUAUCACACAGUUCAAAUAAAACAAUUUGCCUCUAAAAGCUUCCUCAUACACAAUAACAAGGUCAAGAGUUAAAUCUCAAUAAAAUUUCAAAGAACAUCCAAAAACUGAAGUUAUUGUAGACUUACAAUACAAAAGGCAAACCGAUAAAAUUGAUAGUAGAUAGUCCAACCAAAGUUGAAGAUUUACAGGUUCCAUGGUGAAUCAUGGCACCUGCAUUUCCCAAUUCUAAACCCGGUAGAAUUCUAACUAACCUAAGAAUAAGAUAUUAAAUUACUUCAUGUAAGGAAGAAUUCACCUCACAUAACCAAAACAACCUCAAAGGAGAUCGGCCACAUUGGCUGGCAACUCCUCGAUGACAACAUUAUAAAACUUCUGAAUGUCAGAAAGCAUCCUUUCAUCAUCCUUUGUGACAAAGUUGAUAGCAACACCCUUCCUUCCAAAACGUCCACUACGACCAAUACGAUGCAGAUAGUUCUCUGGCUGAGUUGGAAGGUCGUAGUUAAUCACAAGGGAAACUUGCUGCACGUCAAUACCACGCGCCAGAAGAUCAGUGGUGAUGAGCACACGAGACGACCCAGAUCGGAACUCUCGCAUAAUGAUAUCUCUAGUAUUCUGGUCCAUGUCUCCGUGAGUUGCAGAUACUGUGUGAUCACGGCUGCGCAUUUUGUCAGUGAGCCAAUCAACCUUACGCCUGGUGUUAACAAAGAUGACACUCUGGGUGAUGGCUAAGGUCUCGUAAAGAUCGCAAAGAGUUUCAAGCUUCCACUCUUCCUUAUCAACAUUGACAUAAAAUUGCUUGAUACCUUCAAGCGUAAGCUCAUCACGCUUUACAAGAAUCCUCACAGGCUUGUUCAUGAACUUCCUAG
rnacentral:lncRNA from 1 species